rnacentral:rRNA from 1 species
UACGUAGGUGGCAAGCGUUGUCCGGAAUUACUGGGCGUAAAGGGCUCGUAGGCGGCCAACUAAGUCAGACGUGAAAUCCCUCAGCUUAACUGGGGAACUGCGUCUGAUACUGGAUGGCUUGGAUUCGGGAGAGGAGUGCGGAAUUCCAGGUGUAGCGGUGAAAUGCGUAGAUAUCUGGAGGAACACCGGUGGCGAAGGCGGCAUUCUGGACCGACAUUGACGCUGAGGAGCGAAAGCCAGGGGAGCAAACGGG